rnacentral:rRNA from 1 species
CAGCAGCCGCGGGAAUACGUAGGGCGCAAGCGUUAUCCGGGAUUAUUGGGCGUAAAGAGCUCGUAGGCGGUUUGUCGCGUCUGCCGUGAAAGUCCGGGGCUCAACCCCGGAUCUGCGGUGGGUACGGGCAGACUAGAGUGAUGUAGGGGAGACUGGAAUUCCUGGUGUAGCGGUGAAAUGCGCAGAUAUCAGGAGGAACACCGAUGGCGAAGGCAGGUCUCUGGGCAUUAACUGACGCUGAGGAGCGAAAGCAUGGGGAGCGAACAGGAUUAGAUACCCCAGUAGUCCCUGUCUCUUAUAC